rnacentral:lncRNA from 1 species
CAUAAUGGUGUUUUUCUGUUCUGUACCUAAAAGGGUUGCCGGUACGGUAUAAAUCGCCCGAAAUACAUAAGCAAGAGUGCCAGUUUAGAGGGGGGUUUUAGCCUUAAGAUGCUGCCUGGACCCCCUCCCAUAAUAGGUGUCACCUUCGACUACACACUGAAGCACACACCCACCAUUUUGCUGUCAAGUUACGUUAGGUCGGCGACCUCUUGGUUCAAAUAGCCACCCUCACUUCUACUUCACAAUGCUGUUUUCUCCCUUUUUCUUUUCUUUUUUUUUUUUUUGGGGGGGGGGGGGGUUAUAUAUGUCAAUUUGAGUGGUAUAGAUUGAUUAAAAUGACACUUGAAAAUUAACUGAUUGCAAAUCGGAACAGCCAAAAUACCUAAUUUCCGCACGUACUUCACAUUGAAAAAAAGAAAACCAGUAAUCAAGUUUGUACUUUGGUAAGAUCGCUUUAGCUUGUGUCCACAUACAUGACAUGAAGAUCUUUUUUUUUGGGGGGGUCAGAACAUGACAUGAGGAUGACUUUUUGACUUUUCAACCAAUUUCUUUGUUCGUAGAUGAUUUAAUCUUUUCCCGAAGUUUUCAUUUUUUUUUUCAAGUAAACAGUUGUUGGAUAUUAAACAGCCCCAUAACUGUCCGAAACAUUCAUUGAUCAGUUCCUGAGAGAGGCUUAGAAAAG